UCGAGGGGUAUAGGUUUUCGGACCUAGAGACCGGCGCACGGGUGCGUAACGCGUAUGCAAUCUACCUUUCACAGAGGGAUAGCCCAGAGAAAUUUGGAUUAAUACCUCAUAGUAUGCAGAGUUGGCAUCAACCUUGCAUUAAAGUCACAACGGUGAAAGAUGAGCAUGCGUCCCAUUAGCUAGUUGGUAAGGUAACGGCUUACCAAGGCUACGAUGGGUAGGGGUCCUGAGAGGGAGAUCCCCCACACUGGUACUGAGACACGGACCAGACUCCUACGGGAGGCAGCAGUGAGGAAUAUUGGUCAAUGGGCGCAAGCCUGAACCAGCCAUGCCGCGUGCAGGAUGACGGUCCUAUGGAUUGUAAACUGCUUUUGUACGGGAAGAAACAACGAUUCGUGAAUCGUCUUGACGGUACCGUAAGAAUAAGGAUCGGCUAACUCCGUGCCAGCAGCCGCGGUAAUACGGAGGAUCCAAGCGUUAUCCGGAAUCAUUGGGUUUAAAGGGUCCGUAGGCGGUUUAGUAAGUCAGUGGUGAAAGCCCAUCGCUCAACGGUGGAACGGCCAUUGAUACUGCUAGACUUGAAUUAUUAGGAAGUAACUAGAAUAUGUAGUGUAGCGGUGAAAUGCUUAGAGAUUACAUGGAAUACCAAUUGCGAAGGCAGGUUACUACUAAUGGAUUGACGCUGAUGGACGAAAGCGUGGGUAGCGA
rnacentral:rRNA from 1 species